CCAUUAGAUCAGAAUCUGUUUUAACUAUUUGGCCAAUACUGCUGUGAUAAACUACACUUUAAGACUUUAGAGUAGACAACAAGAGGGAGGGAAGAGGUUCAAAGGUUUUCCUGCCACAAUGAACUUAAAUGAGUUAGGGAAAUAAACCAAAUUUAUUUUUAAGGAAGAAGUAAUUUAAAAUCAGUUCUUAUUUCACAAGUUCUUACUUCACAGUCAAGGCUCAGCUAUCUCUACACAUCUACAUUACUCACACAGCUGUGCUCCAACCAGUACAUAUUUUUGUCAAUGAAAGCAAAAUCAGAGUUGUGCAUUAUACUGUUACCAAAUGAAGCGCAACAUCCAUGCUAAGUCAUUCUGCACAAUAUAUUCUAGAUGAAGAAAACCUACAGAUGAACUUUGUAUCACAUGGAUUGCAGUUGACUGUGUGGAAGACUCAGAGAACUGAUUUGAAAAUACAAAAGAAGAUACAUUUGCAUGAAAGCCAAAAAUAUGACAGCAGAGCCCACAUCUAAAACUCCUAAAACAAGUGAUGGUACAAAGGUUGCCUGUCAGCCAGUGGACUUUGGAAUUAAGCUGAGUGUUAUUUACCUAUGUAAAUACUAAUAUCUUUAAUAUUUGAUAAAAUCUGUUCAUACUUGCAUUUCUGUUCCUAUUCCUUUCUACUAAAAGUGCACUCAACUGUGACUCCAGAUGAAUACCCAUUUGUUGCCUAGUAAACACAUAUAGGAAGGUUUACAGCAACUAGAUGUAAUUUUCCGUACAGAAAAUUAAAUGGACAUUAAUUUCUUUGAGAAGCAAACAAAAAGAUCAAACUAAAAGGGAGAAGUCUGAUAUUUUUCCCAGCAUACUGUAAAGUAAUACUGCACUUCCCUUUAGCUACAAGUGUGUUGUGGCUGUUUCAAUAAGGUUCCAUUGUAGAGUCGAUUCACUAGUUUCUAAAAGAUUGAGAGUUAGUGCUUUUGAAAAAAAUAAGAAAUAUCUCUUUAGUUAUUUCAUAAAAAGGCCUGGGUUAGAAGGGAUCUUAAAGAUUUACCUUAAAGAUAUUUCUAACUCCCCUGCUAUGGACAAAGCUACCUUCCACUAAACCAAGUGGCUUAGACUUCUAUUGAACCUGGCCUUACACCCUUAGAGAGACGGGACACUCACAACUUCUGUGAGCACUCUGUUCCAGUGUCUCACCAGCCUCACAGCAAAAAAAAAAGUUUUAAAACCCUUCUUUUUUUCUGUUUUAUGCGUUCAUCUACACAUACUACUGUAUUUUUAAAUGCAAUUAACUGAUAGUUUUCAUCUUCUGCUUCAAUAAGAAUUCUGUAACUUGCUCAUAGGUCUUGAUCUAACAAAGCCUUUACAUUGCCUCACUCUUCAGUACUACAGAGUUCAGACACCACGAGAACUCAUAAUUAAAAAAAAAUACACACUACCAUCAUAGUAAACAAACCACUAACUUUAAUUCCAAAUAGCUAAUACUUUUCAAUUAGCCACCAGGAUUAAAAUUCCUAAGAAUUACAUCACGUAAAUAAACUGGGUCAUUUUCCUCAUG